CGAAGUUACUCUAAUGGUUUAAUUGACUGAGUGAUUUGCUUAAAACUAACUUUGUAAGUUCAAAUACAAACAUACAAACAAAAAUGAUGUCAUAAUAAACAGUAGUUCGUAGUGUAGACGACCAUUAACUUUAAAUGCUAUCUAUAUUUACAUAAAUCUCCAUAAAAAGAAAACAUUCAGUGAUGAUUUCUUUAACAUCAAUUAUAACAAAAUAUGAUUUGCCAACGUUUCGCAAAAUUCUUUUGCUAUUGUUUUUGCUACCGGACGUUGUAUUCACACUUUAACAUAACACGGUGUUGGCGCAAGAGAGUACGGGCCCGUCUUAUCAAGAUACUUACGAGAAUAUUUCUCGUAUCUUUCUCGUAAGUCUCUCGCAACAUUCUCGUAAGUCUGACAGGUUUCUUAUGAAAAUUAACGUAGCUACGAUAUCGUCAGUUUCUACAUAAAAUCCUCGUAAAGUUACGAGAGGGUCAGGGGUCUCGUAAAUAUUUACGAUAUCGUAAAUAAAAUGGCGGCAUCCGUGUGAGCAACCACGACGAAACUUUCUGUCGAAAAUACUGCAGAUUGUUCAGCAGUAAAACUUGAUUUUCCGUGGCACAACAGUGGAUGAACUACGUCAUCGAUCAUACAAAAGCACGCGCUUUGGGUCAGUGCGACACGAAGCGGAAGCGAGUGUAAAGGAAAUAUUGAGCACAUAAAUUCUGUUUACCUCGCUGUUUCCUGUGUUGACAGAUCAAUUGGAGGGACAUGCUGGUAAUAAUUAUUGUAGAAAUAUUCGGUUAUUUAGGUAUAAUUUUAUUAGUGUCGAUAUUGCAGACAUUCAUCACCAACGGUUAUUUGGGGUCGACUUGUACCCUAUUUACUUCGUAUCAGUGUUUUUAUCAUCUAUAUAAUAAAAGAAACUGAAUGUGCAUGAGACUUGAUUUUAAUAUAAAAAUAAAUUAAAUAGGCAUCAAUGAUCUAUAUUCGAUACGGACAAAUGCCUACAAUCGAAGGGUAUGUUUGGCAGUAUUGCAACUGUAACAGUCUCAGGAAAAAUGAGCAGCCUCGACCAGGUUUCAAACCUUGGACCUUCGGCUUACCAUGCCAAAGCUCUACCAAUUGAGCUACCGAGGCCACCCGAUACGAGAACCUCUACACACCUUCCCUCUUAUUGCGAGACAUUAGCACUCCUGGCCAAUGUUUGCCGCAGACUUAACCGAAUUCAGAUUCAUACCCCAGCCAAACUGCUUUGCCCUGCAUGGGCUUCAAGGGUGAGCAUCAUGGACGAGCCCCCAAAUGUAACAGUCUCAAGAAAAAUGUGCAGCCUCGACGGGGAUUCGAACCUCGGACCUGCGGCUUACCGUGCCAACGCUCUACCAAUUGAGCUACCGAGGCCAUGCGAUACGAGAACUGCUACACAACUAAUAUGACCUGUCUGUAUUGAACAUAUGUUUACUGGAUAAAAAAGUCAAGGAAUUCUCUUGCCUUCCAAUAAAUUAACUGAACGCCGCCUAGCCUGCAUGAUAGUCAUCAGGUAACCCAAUGCCUAGUCGAGAGUCCUCUAGGGGUUUUGUAUCUGGCUUGAAAUCUUGAUUUGACAUAUUUGUGAUAUUACAUAUGUCAUGCAAUGUAAGUUACAAAUGAAACAUUCUUAUCACACAAGUUUGGUAUCACAGUUUAUUAUAAUGUCUUUAAAACUAUUUAUGUUGCAGAAUGCCAGAAGAAAUUACAGACAACAAUACUGCUCAGUGCAGUAACCAGACCUGAAAAAAAAACACUGCUCAAGGCAAACUUUUGGGACAGAGUGCUGCAUACAUGGGCUUAUGCACAAACUGAGAUUUUGCAAGUCAACUGUCAGUCAUAAAGAGAGACAGUGGACAAUGUUGAACAGAGUUGAAGUCCUGGAAUCUCGGUCAAUUGCAGAUAGCAGCAUGGCGUAAAGCAGACGUCUUGUUUCCCAGUCCAAUUUUAGUCAGGUAUUCUUGGUGGUAUGAAACUGCAGUCAACACAGGCUUUUAGAGGUCUGCAAGUACAGAGUUUUCAAUUGUGAAACAAAG